GCAAGUCGAACGAAGUCUUCGGACUUAGUGGCGGACGGGUGAGUAACACGUGGGAACGUGCCUUUAGGUUCGGAAUAACUCAGGGAAACUUGUGCUAAUACCGAAUGUGCCCUUCGGGGGAAAGAUUUAUCGCCUUUAGAGCGGCCCGCGUCUGAUUAGCUAGUUGGUGAGGUAAAGGCUCACCAAGGCGACGAUCAGUAGCUGGUCUGAGAGGAUGAUCAGCCACAUUGGGACUGAGACACGGCCCAAACUCCUACGGGAGGCAGCAGUGGGGAAUCUUGCGCAAUGGGCGAAAGCCUGACGCAGCCAUGCCGCGUGAAUGAUGAAGGUCUUAGGAUU
rnacentral:rRNA from 1 species